GGCCGCGGGAAUUCGAUUCAGGCCUAACACAUGCAAGUCGAGCGGGGUUUUCGGACCUAGCGGCGGACGGGUGAGUAAUGCGUAGGAAGCUACCCGAUAGAGGGGGAUACCAGUUGGAAACGACUGUUAAUACCGCAUAAUGUCUACGGACCAAAGUGUGGGACCUUCGGGCCACAUGCUAUCGGAUGCGCCUACGUGGGAUUAGCUAGUUGGUGAGGUAAUGGCUCACCAAGGCGACGAUCCCUAGCUGGUUUGAGAGGAUGAUCAGCCACACUGGAACUGAGACACGGUCCAGACUCCUACGGGAGGCAGCAGUGGGGAAUAUUGGACAAUGGGCGCAAGCCUGAUCCAGAAGGGCCGCGUGUGUGAAGAAGGCCUUCGGG
rnacentral:rRNA from 1 species